AAGUCGAGCACAGUGGAGAGUGUUUUCUUUUUUCAAUCGUUUGCAAUCACGAUAAAUUGAGUGAGGGGCUACCGACUGACAUCGAUUCAAGAGCGGAUUUAAUGUAGUAUUGCAAAAAGAAAUAUGCUUGAAAAAAUACUUGGAUAAAUAAAAAGGCUGGUUUCGGUGGGGAAAUAAACAAUCGUUUAUUUCACGUUGAAAGGUCGAGUUGAGGAUUGAACGGAAACGUGAUUCUGGAUAUGAAAUGGGCAGCGAAGACUUGAAAGAACAAAAACUUCUCGGGUGUUGUAAGAGUGAGAGAGACGGCGAAGGAAGAAAAAAUGGAGUUGAGCCCGUUUCACGGUGACAAUGGAAAAAUAUCUCCAAGGUAGAAUAAAAUCAGAAUUGAGGGAAAAGUGAAAAAGACGGCAGUAAGGGUGAAAGAAAAAAAGUUGUUGCGGCUACGGGAGUGAACGGUGGGAUAAAUGUUGGUCGGGAGAGGAAGAAAGAACGGAAAAGGGGCAGUAUUUGGGCUCGUGUCAAAUAAAAUAUCAAAGUGUCAGAAAAAUUUGGGAGUUUGUGAAUUUCUGUACGGAAAUUGGCUUACUCCGGGAUUCCGGUUCCGGAGCUCCGUACAACUUGAUCGAAAGACACAUGCGUCCUUGCAAAACGAAUAUACUUCGGCAUUGCAAGAGACGAAAAUCAUUAAAUAUUUUUCAAUAGAGACUUUAUUAUUUGGUUCGUUAACGAGUCAGCCACUCGUGAUAUCGUUCCACCGCGAUUGAAACGCGGAAUCCUUCUUAUAGCGAAGAUAAAGAAAGACAAGAAAAAGCCAAGGUCACGGGGCAAUUGAAAUUUGAUGGUCGCAGAAAAGUGAAAUGUCGGUGAGCGAUCGCGAAGCAUUUGAGGCCUUCUGGCGGUCACUCAGCCACGAAAAUCUCACGGAAGCUGAGUAUCUCGAUCGGAUAUUGGGACCGAAAUAUUUGCCCAUGAGACUUGUAUUACCCCUGACACUCGUCUACGUAACUAUAUUCAUAACAGGAAUCAUCGGUAACGUCAUUACAUGCACAGUUAUCAUCAAGAACACGACUAUGCACACGACUACCAACUACUAUUUAUUCAGUCUGGCCAUAUCGGAUCUUACGCUGCUUAUACUUGGUUUGCCCAACGAACUGAGUAUUUUCUGGCAACAAUAUCCGUGGCCUCUGGGUGUGGGAUUGUGCAAGAUUAGAGCUUUCGUUUCGGAAAUGUCUUCGUACGUUUCCGUACUAACAAUAGUUGCAUUUUCGUUGGAGCGUUAUCUCGCCAUAUGUCAUCCUCUCCGGGUUUACGCGAUGAGAGCGAUGAAGAGACCGACUCGUUUCAUCUUUGCUGUGUGGCUCAUAGCUCUUGUCUCAGCUUUGCCUUUUGCGGUUUACACGACUGUUAAUUACGUCGAGUAUCCACCCGGUUCAGGCAAAAUCUCUCUCAACUCGGCAAUAUGCGCUAUGUUGUUGCCCGAAAUGCCAGUUCUUCCGCUCUACGAACUCAGCUGUUUUAUAUUCUUCAUUCUUCCGUUGUGCGUUAUUAUUGUUCUUUAUACGAGGAUGGGACUGAGAAUCCGUAGCAGCGCGAAAGAUCACAGCGGAGCUGCAAAGGCAUCGGCGCAUUGGGAUUCGAAACAAGUGCAGGGACGAAAAAUCGUUGUUAGAAUAUUGAGCGCUGUCGUCAUAAUGUUCUUCAUCUGUUGGGCCCCGUUUCAUGCUCAACGAUUACUCUACGUUUACGCCAAGGAGGCGGAUUAUUAUCCCGAUUUAAACGAAUGGCUGUACAUACUGAGCGGAUGUCUCUACUAUUUCAGCACGACGGUCAAUCCAAUACUCUACAAUCUUAUGAGUGCUCGAUAUCGCAAAGCGUUCCAGAAAAUCGUAUUCCGAUGUCGUGGCAAAGUAAAAACAGCCCCAAAGCCGAAGAGACAAAAAUUGGCUGCAAAGAACCCGGAUUUGUGCAGAUUCACGAUCAAUCAGACCAACGGAAUAUUUGGAUUCAGCUCGGCUCUGCGAGAUCCUCAAGGAGUUGCUAAAAAUUCGAUCGGCUCUACUCAUGCACACGAGGCAGAAAUUAACACCCCCUUGGACAAGCCACUCCUAUAUUCGAAAUACCCCAACGUCGAAGAGCUGUCGAGUUUCGAAAGUGCUUCGUCGCAACAGAAGAAGCUGCAACAGACAAUGUCGACAGCAAGCAGCUCUUUGUAAAAACUUUCCACGAAAACACUACUUCACGAUAAAAUUUGUAUACAAUCCGUAUUUCCAUUCUUUGACCAUAAUUUUUUAUUAUUUUUUAAAUAUAUUUCCCAAGGAAGGAAGUUCGACGUUACUUUUUUGAAAAAUUCUAAAUGGAACAAAUUUUGGCGCCGUGAUGAAUAAAACAAUUAUUAUUGUCAUUAUUACUGCAAAAUAUAUAAAUCGAAUGAUUUAUUUGAUCGAUGUUGCCAUCGAAAUCUGGUCUCGCUGAAUUGUUGUAAUUGUAGCACAAACUAGCGAGGUCUCCUCAAAAUGAUGCUCCCUGAAUUUGCAACCAUGCAAUCUCAAUAACUAUAUCUCGAUUGAGUUAGAAUCGAUCAGACCACUCAUCGGUUAACUCAUAAAUCCCCGAGCGGACGACACUUUCUGAUGGUGCUGUUCCAUUGAAGCAUUAGAUGGGGAAUUUUUUCAAUUGAUUUAGUUGUUAGAAUAAGAAAGAAUGCUGGGACAUCGGUUUCCAAAAUGUUUUCAAGCGCAAUUUUUCGGUCCUUUAUUUCUCACGUUCAAUUGGAUUUUUUUUUUUACUUUAUAAAAUAAUUUUAGAUUUUUUUAACCAUAAUGUUUUUUCAUGAUUUGUGAAAAUUUUUUCGAAUUAUUGUGUUGAAAUUAUUUACAGUUGGUUUCAUAAUUUCUUUUUAUGGAAUUUUUCUUACUCUUUUUGUGAUCAGGAAACAAGGGUCCAUCAAUGUACUUGUCUCAACCUUUUUUCCCCUAUUAAAACUUGGUGGAAUUGCAGUUGCUUAUAUCGUUCAGUUUUUCCACGAAACGUUGGAAGUAAAGAAUUGAGAAUUCUGCUGCCUUUUCCGCUCGCACUAUAUCUUAAAAAUAUGUCGGUGUACCGGAUUGAAAAUAUAUGUAUAACGCGAAAUUGCCUGAUAAUGGGUAAUUCUCAAGCUUCAUCGUCAGUGAAUUUGACUUGAAUAAAGACAUCAAUAAAAACUGAAGUUUCGGAGAUAUUGAUGCUACAGCGAAAAGUAGUCCACGUCAAACCAUCUUGGUAAUUAUUUUAUUUAUUUGAAGAAAAAAAGAUUAUCUCAACAUGAAUUUCGAAUCUUUGUAGUUAGAAUUAGAGCGUUUUUCACAAUUUCAAUAGUCGAUAACAGAUUACAAUGAAAUUGGAAACAGUCUGAAACAAUCGGCGAACCGAUCUAUGUAAGGUUAGUUACAGAAUAUUCUUUUUGUGUUUUCCAAAUUUGCAUUAACCUUCAUUCGAUCGCGAUAGCGAAGAAAAUAUGUCAAAAUUUUUGCCAGAUGUGAAACGUAAAAAACUCAUUUCUAACCUAAACUUUUCGUCAAAAAUAUAAAAUCGAAUUUGUUUUUCUAGUAUUCAGUCUAAUAUGGGGAGGUUAACGCUCACGCAUUUGGCUUUUUAUAUACUGAGAUUUGUAUGGUUCACCGGCGAAAUAUUCAUGGAUUUAAUGCUUUGUUUACUGGACACCUUUUUCGGAAAAUUAUCUAACCUCAGAUUAGGCACAAAAGUAAUGUAUAUGUCAUCUAAAAUAAAGUGAUUUUAUAUAAUA
rnacentral:misc_RNA from 1 species